CACAAACUACUGCCACCUGUGUGGGAUGACUGGCGUACCUGAAACUCGUUCCCAUGGGCCUUAAAACCAUGAGCACCUAUUAACAUACCACCUGAACACCGUGUGACCCUAUGCACAGACACUUCACCUGCUCACGUAUAGCACCGUUUGAGAAUAAAUCACCCUCCUGGGGAGAACCACUCUCUCUCCCGGGUAAUGGAAGAGAUCAUCCGUCAUCUUACUAAGCUCUCGGCAAGCCAGCAGCAGUUCACGGAGCUAUUUGCAGCUAGACAAGAAUAUACUGACCGGGUUGUCGAUCAGUUACAGGCCAGCGUGGCGGCCCUCGUGCCCCUCCCGGAGGUUGCCAACAAAGCCCACCAGCAUCUCGUCCGACUAUCCGAGCAGGAUGAUGUCGAAGCCUACCUCCACACCUUUGAAGUCAUCGCGACCCGAGAGGGGUGGGUGAAAGAGAAAUGGGCCCAGAUCAUUGCACCCUUUCUCACAGGGGAUGCUAACAUCCCUGUUGUAUAUCUCGAUGCAUUUCAGCAGGUUGUGGCUGGAGGCUCCUUUGGCCGGGAACAGCGCGAGGAUGAACACUUGUGGAAUUGCUGGGAAUGAAUACGUUGUUAUAACGGAAGCCAUCCCCCUGUGUGGAGCUAACACUAAGAACAUCACCUGUGAACCGUUUCUCCUGGCCAGCCGAGUCGAGAUACCCAAAGAGGUGCUGACUGACCAGGGCACCCCGUUCAUGUCCCGGGUGAUGGCCGACCUCUGCCGCCUCAAAGUAAAGCAGCUGAGAAUAUCAGUCUAACACCCACAAACGGACGGGCUCAACUAAAGUUUCAAUCAGAUGCUCAAGCAAAUGCUGCAACGGAUUGUGGCCGAAGAUGGGAGUGAGUGUGACCUAAUGAUCCCAUACGUGCUGUUCGGCAUCCGCGAGGUACCCCAAGCCUCCACAGGGUUCACCCCCUUCGAAUUGCUGUUCAGGAGACAUCCUCGGGGUCUUCUGGAUGUGGCGUGUGAAGCCUGGGAGAACCAACCUACCCCAAACUGCAGCCUCGUCAGGCACGUUCGGGAGAUGAGAGAACAGAUCAUCAGAGUAAUGCACCUGAUGUGACCCACCACAGUGACCAAGUGAUGGUGUUGGUCCCUUACAGCUGCCUCCAAGUUCUUGGCCACAUGGCAAGGUCCCUACACCAUCGUGGAAUGAGUGGGACCGGUCGUGUAUCGAGUUCGACAGCCAGGCUAUAGGAGAGCCGAGCAAAUUUACAAUGUCAAAUUCCUCAAGAAGUGGACGCCCCUGCCUUGCCCAAUCUCAGGCCCCGGUUGUUGACAUGAACCCGCAGCUGUCUGGAGCCCAGAAAACUGAACUUGAGGCCCUGGUCAGUCAGUUCAAGGAUGUGUUCAGUGAGACCCCAGGAAAAACGACAGUCUUAGAACACGAGAUCCGCACCCCACCAGGAGUCAUAGUGCGGCAGCGGCCCUACCCUCGGCCCAAUAACAAGACACAGGUACAGGCAUUUCUGGAUUUGGUGAGCUACUACCGGUGUUUUAUCCCCAAUUUCUUCUCUAUAGUCAGCCCCCUGUCAGACCUCACCAGGAAGGGACAGCCCAAAUCGAUUGUCUGGACUCCAGAGGCGGAGGAAGCCUUCCAAGCACUGAAGACGGCUCUAACAUCACCGGUUCUGAAUGCACCGGACUUCAGUUGCCCCUUCACGCUAUAUACCGAUGCCUCCGGUAAUGGUUUGGGAGCAGUACUCUCUCAGCUCUGGGAUGGAGAGGAGCACCCUGUGGUGCACAUCAGUAGGAAGCUCUCCCCCAUGGAGACCAGGUACGCCGCGGUCGAGAAGAAGGCCCUGGCCAUAAAAUGGGCAGUCCUGGAGCCGCCUUGGGGCCACCGGUUCAACCUGGUCACCGACCAUGCUCCGUUACAGUGGAUGUCCAAAGCUAAAGACACGAACACCCGAGUGACCCAGUGGUUCCUGAUGCUCCAGGACCUCCACUUCCAGAUACAGCAUCGGGCCAGGGCGAUCACGAAAAUGCUGAUGGACUCUCCCGGGGCUGGGUUGGAUGGGCAGGUCUUACAGGACCAGGUUGACGCCUAAGGGCGGGGAAUGUGGCGAGUAUCCCGGUUCCAGAUCAGUGUCGUCCUGGAAAUGCUGCUCCUAUAUAUCACAAACUACCACCACCUGUGCAGGAUGACUGGCGCACCAGGAGCUUGUUCCCACGGGCCUUAAAGCCAUGAGAGAAGGUGCACAGGGGAGGGUGGAAGAGGGGCUCCAGGCGUAAACUAAUGUCUUUUCUUUUCUUCUCCUCUUGUGCAGAGACCGACGACACCCUUGAUGAGUGAUUCGCAGCCCUGCAUGAGUACUGAGUGACCCUAUGCACAGACACUUCACCUGCUCACGUAUAGCACUGUUCGUGAAUAAAUAACCCUCCUGGGGUACUGUUUGCCAGUUCUGUGUCUGUGUUCUCAUUCACCCCGCAACUUUUUUUUUUUUUAAGUUUCUAUCUCCAAUUUAGCAGCACUUACAUUCACCAAAAUUUACAGUUUUAUUCCUAUCUAUAUUUAAGGUUUUUAGAGGGAUUUGCUUGUAUAUCAAUCACACUGAUUUAUAUAACACUUAAUUCCUAAAAAUGUGAACAAAAGAAGACAAAUGAUUUGAGAGUGCAA
ensembl:lncRNA